rnacentral:rRNA from 1 species
AGCAGCCACGGUAAUUCCAGCUCCAAUAGCGUAUAUUAAAGUUGUUGCAGUUAAAAAGCUCGUAGUUGAAUUUCGGGAUCAAUAUGUUGGUCGUGCCUCGGUACGUACUAGCAUAUUGGUUUCUCCUUUCUGAAGAACCAUGAUGUCAUUUAUUUGGUGUCGUGGGGAAUCAGGACUGUUACUUUGAAAAAAUUAGAGUGUUUAAAGCAGGCUCACGCUUGAAUACAUUAGCAUGGAAUAAUGAAAUAGGACGUUUGAUUCUAUUUUGUUGGUUUCUAGGAUCGACGUAAUGAUUAAUAGGGAUAGUUGGGGGCAUUAGUAUUCAAUUGUCAGAGGUGAAAUUCUUGGAUUUAUUGAAGACUAACUACUGCGAAAGCAUUUGCCAAGGAUGUUUUCAUUAAUCAAGAACGAAAGUUAGGGGAUCGAAGACGAUCAGAUACCGUCGUAGUCUUAACCAUAAACUAUGCCGACUAGGGAUCGGAUGAUGUUAAUUUUUUAAUGACUCAUUCGGCGCCUUACG